AACGAACGCUGGCGGCAUGCCUAACACAUACAAGUCGAACGAGACCUUCGGGUCUAGUGGCGCACGGGUGCGUAACGCGUGGGAACCUGCCCUUAGGUUCGGAAUAACUCCCCGAAAGGGGUGCUAAUACCGGAUAAUGUCUUCGGACCAAAGAUUUAUCGCCUUUGGAUGGGCCCGCGUUGGAUUAGCUAGUUGGUAGGGUAAGAGCCUACCAAGGCGACGAUCCAUAGCUGGUCUGAGAGGAUGAUCAGCCACACUGGGACUGAGACACGGCCCAGACUCCUACGGGAGGCAGCAGUGGGGAAUAUUGGACAAUGGGCGAAAGCCUGAUCCAGCAAUGCCGCGUGAGUGAUGAAGGCCUUAGGGUUGUAAAGCUCUUUUACCCGGGAUGAUAAUGACAGUACCGGGAGAAUAAGCUCCGGCUAACUCCGUG
rnacentral:rRNA from 1 species